UUCUUUUCAUUUUAGUGAGUACCAGUUAGAAACGCGGUUUAGUCUUUUGAUUGUUUUCUUUAUUUGCAAAUGUAUAUUUUGCUGGAAGGAUUGUAUCUCUGUUGC